CUUGAAAUCAAUCAGUUAAAGUAAUGUCGAUCAUUUCUACUUGAUCAUGCGUAGUCAGUCAAUUAAUAAUAAUCUCUGAUUCUGUUCUGAUUGUCUGUCCCGUGUGUCAGUUUGUGUUGUUUCGAGUCGUUGUUUAUAAGUUAGUCAGUCUCCUGGUGGGUGGCUGUGAUGGAGAGGGAGGUCUGGUGGCGAUAAUGAUGGUUAUGUAUGCUUACACGGUGUUUGUUGUUAUGUUUUAUAAGGACGAUGAAUGAAGGCUGGUUUUACUGCAUUGUAUCCCUGAACCCCGCAGACGUAAUAAGGUAUUUAUGUUCUGUUUACCUUUUGUCUUUGCUUCCAUGUUUUUUAUUGAUUCAGUUGCUGUCGCGGAUGGAUGGGAGAAAUUUUGCAAUCAGGUAGCUAGGUCUGUGAUUUUGCUCCUUAAAAAGUUCUUGUUUAUGAUACUGUUGAGAGGGUACAAAAUGAAGUCGUGAAUUGAUGCAGCAUUUUGUCGAAGCUGAUUGUGUCGGUUGUAGGUAGAAUAUAAUUUUGUAGAUGCAUUGAUGAAGUCAAGUUUCAUGUUUUUGAAUUCUGAAAUGAUAACAUGUACUGAAUUUGGAACGUAGUGUCAUUGUAGUAUUGGAAUCUGGAGAACAGAGAGGAAGUGACAUGUUGCGGCAUAUUUUACCACCAUGUCUCAAUUCUGCAACCUCCCUGCUCUUUAGAAUGGUUAUGGGAAGUGGUUGCUGCAGCUUUUUGUGUGAUUGUUUGAGCAUCUUAAACAGGCCCUCUGUUGGAACUUGGGUGACUGCAAAAGACUAUUCAGGCCUAAACUUAGUAGGAUCGAGGUGAACUGACAAAUCUUUGACUCUGCUUUUGCUGGACAGUUGUUGCUGCAACCAGCACUGCUAGAUAUACUUUCUUUCCAUAUGAUGACUUUGUGGACGAUAAUAUGGAUGUUGAACUUGGAUUAGGGGAGCUAUCAAAUUGUUAACUAUGAUUUAGAUAUUCAUGCCAGUCUGUUGUAUUUGGCCUUCGCUUUUAGAUUCUGAAAACCUUUAAGGAGGUCGAUUCUCAACACCUUUUAGCUAUCUUGACUGAAAAAAAGUACAUAAUUUGUUGUGUGCAUAGUUGGACUAUUGGCAUGCCUUGGGAACUUGGAUUGUUCUCACAAUAUUGGCAGUCAUUGUUAGAGGCUGGUUUUAUGUUGUCUAACAUAUUUAAAAAACUGGUUCGUGUUAAGGCUAAUCAAUCUGCGGUUCCAAGUUUUGUGUGUGUAUUAUCUAGGUUAAUAGGCAGGAGCCCAGGGGGAAUCUGAAGACAUCCCUUCAAUUAGGACAUGAUAAAACUAAGCCAUCAAGUAAUGUUUCUCAAGAAGUAUGGAAAAAUAUGCAAAACGCAAAUUCUGAUUCCCCAAGACCAUAUGCUUCGAUUUGUGAGAAUGCUGUCUUAUUGGACAAGUUCUUAACAAACCUACUUUCCCUCUAUGUAACAAAUUCUCUGGUCAUAGGAUAGCUAUGUUAGUACUCCAAAGAAUGUCAUUUUCCUUAUUGACAUGUACGGUGAGUUGUAGAUGUUAUUUAUGCAUUUCGAAUUCUGGAAAUGGUUGAUCUGUGGCAAUAAAUUCUAGAUGAAAUUUUUCUGUGGAAAGGGAAAUGUAUUUGUUGUUUUUUCUGGGUGGUGAAAUAGACAUGGUUGGAGGAGCAAGAGGAAGGAAAUGCGAAUUGUCGACAUGAUACAGGUCAUCAACAACUGGUUCUACAGGCAGAUAGAGAUGACGUUUUCAAGGUAGCACAUGAUGAAGAUUGAGGGUUGAGGUUAAAGGGCCAUAGUUCUCAUAUUUCUUUUAUUAAAAAAGGAGGUUAAUUAUUUGUUCAUCCAGGUUGUGACAGAGAUGAAAAAAGUGUUAUGGUGGUUCUGGUAGUGAGGUGAUUGUAACGCAUAAAGAACUUUUGAUUCAUCGCAGAUCCUUUUCAAGCUUGCUAUUACCUUGAGAUAUCUAGAUUUGGGAUGGAUAAGACAGAAAAGGUCUGGUCCUUCAAACCAUAUCGUGUCUUUGCCCUGAUCUCUAGUGCUUCUAGUUUCUUAGAACAUUAAUCUCUGCUAUCAAUGCAACAUGAACCACUUUGAGCAGUCUUCGGAGGCUGUUAAUACUGCGGAAACGAUGAACCUUUUUGGUUACACCGCAGGCUAAGAUAAUUCCCUCUUUGUUUUCUCUCAGCAUGGUCUGAAUCAGUAGUUAAAUUAUUCUUCUUUGUUAAACAAUCCGUUCGCUCAGUUGUUUUUUGUGCUAAAGAACUCGAGUGAGGUAAA